AAGGGCACCACAAGAACGCGUGGAGCAUGUGGCUUAAUUUGACUCAACGCGGGAAAUCUUACCGGGUCCGGACAUACUGAGGAUUGACAGGCGCUUGUAGUUCCUCAAAACUUCGGUUUUGUAGGUAUCUGCAGUAAAUAUGCUAGUCCUUUCAUGAUUGUGUGAUAGGUGGUGCAUGGCCGUUCUUAGUUCGUGGAGUGAUCUGUCUGCUUAAUUGCGUUUCACUAAGGAUCUUUAAACGUCGCCUGCUGCGCUUCUUUCCUUUCGGGGUCUGUUUGCGCGCGGUGACUAAAGGAUCUUGAAGGCAACGAACGUGACCGCAACCUCUUGUUGCUGCGUUUCCAAAAGGAUUUAGUUAGUUUAAGUUUUUGAUUCUUCCUUCGGGAAGUUUUUUAAGCUUACUUCUUAACCUUUCAUCGCAUGCAAACUAGGGGGACCGCUGACAACUUUUUUAAACAGAGGAAGGUUGCGGCAAUAACAGGUCUGUGAUGCCCUUAGAUGUUCCGGGCUGCACACGUGCUACAAUGAUUAUUGCAGUGAGCAUCUAUUUUUUAAAAGCUCGUGGUACUUCUUGGCUGUUCAGAGCGUUGGCUUUCGGGUCAAUUGUCUCUUGUUCGCCGUUGUUACCCGACGAACCUACUUCGAAAGUAAGUAGGUAAUCAAUUCGAAGUAAUGAUUUCCACCCGCACAUACACAGUCUCUUGUUUCGGCUCGUACUUUUAGUGUUUUCUCUUUCGGGGGAUUUCGCUGGUACUUGUUUCCGUACUCGAUGACAUGUGCUCCAUUAAUUCAUGGUGGGGACAGACCAUUGAUAAUUGUUGGUCUCGGUCUCGACUAGGAAUGCCUUGUACGGGUCUUUGGUUCAACAAACCACCCGGAAUAUGUCCCUGCCCUUUGUACACACCGCCCGUCGCUCUUACCGAUGAACUUCUCUGUGAGUUUGAGGGACUGGCUCUCUUUUGUAGCUAUGGAAACUUAAACGAACAGUGUGGUUUAAAGGAAAGAGAAGUCGAACAAGGCA
rnacentral:rRNA from 1 species